rnacentral:lncRNA from 1 species
CAUGUUUAAGUUCUUUUAAAAAACAUUACUUUUAUGAUAGGAUAUGAAUUAUGUUUUCUUCCAGCAGUAAAUAUCUAAACAUAAAUCUGUCUUCAUUUGUGGUUAUAGAAUUCAGCUAUUAGUAACAUAUAAAACCAGCAUUCAGAUACAUUCCUAAUUAUGUUUGAAUUAUGUUGAAUAAUUUUAUAUCAUCAGACUUUGGUAAUGAAUAAUGCACCCAUGAUUCAGGAACAAUGUUAGCAUUUUAAACUUAAAUUUAUUUUUAUUUCUGUGAAAAUAGAAAAAUAAAUAAAAAUAUCUAUUAAAACUCUUCUACAUGUAAGAAAAUGAUAUAGGAAUCAUUAAACCUACUUUUCAUUUAUGAUUACUUAACAGUGAUCAUUUUAAUUUUGAAGGGCUGCAUAAGAAUGGAUUUAAGACAUAUGUUAACUCCAACAAUUUAUAUGUUUUAUCAAUCUAUGCAAUUAAAAAGUUUGCUGAAAGAGGCUUUCAAUGUAAAGUUUUAUUCUGAGAUGAACAUUUCUAACUAAUGUCAAACUACUCAUAACCUCCUAAAAAACUCAGAGAAUAUGACUUUGGCGGUGUAAUUGAGUGCUUCCAUAAUAAAACCCAGGUAAUUGAAAAAUCAAAUUUCUGUGGUGUGCUGACAGUAAAAGUAGAUUCUAACAACCAUUGAAAAAUUAGUGCCUAUGAAUUAAAAUUUAAGAUUAAACUUUAGCUGUUUUAGAUAUGACCUUUAAAAGAUGUUAAGUGGUGUUAAAUGGUGUUAAAUGUUCUGGGAUCAUUGUUAUGUGUUACUAAGUAGCAACACUAUUUUCAAGCAAUUCCUAGAUUAUAGGAGUUAAUUUGAUAAAACCACCAUUUUUUUUCUCAUUUUAUGAACAUCGUUAAAUGUAUCAAUUAUUUUAAUGCAAAUAGAGAAAAUGACUCAUGGAAUCUUUUGAAAAGAACAUUUUACCUAUUAUCAGUCAAAUUCUUCUUGCUCUUCUAAAUCUCCAUAAAUAAAUCACCAAGGCAUCAAUAUCAUAUCAGAUCUAGUAUACUAUAUUAGAAAACCUUUCAUUCAUCUUUGUAUGAUAUCAUCAUGUCUGUUGGAAUGUGAAAUGGAGACAGAUUUUAAGUUUAAGAAACCUAAAUUUUGAUCACAUUCCUAUAUCAUCCGUUUGAUAUUUUUAAUAUUCAAAUUUAUUCUUUCUUUUUAGCAGAGGUAUUUCAUUUCCACCUUUUCUCAACUUUUUAGUUAUAAAUUUAUAUGAGAUAUACUUAUCAGAUAAGAUUAAAAGAGUAUUCAAAGCCUAUGUGUAAAAAGGAAAUGUUUGAAUAAAUGAUAGAUAGACAGAUAGAUAGAUAGAUAGAUAGAUAGAUAGAUAGAUAGAUAAAUCUGAUGUUAUUAGGAGUCUUCUAUAUUUCCUGAGAGCUUAAAAGAAUGCUUUAGAAACCAAAUUUCACGUAUGUGGAGUGAUUAUAUCACAAAUUAUCCUACAUACAAUUUGACAUCACACAUUAUACAUUCAAAGUCCUAAAUUUUCUUUUAAUUAUAUACUAUCUUCCUCUUAUCUUCCAUCUUUCUC